UACGUAGGGGGCUAGCGUUGUCCGGAAUCAUUGGGCGUAAAGAGCGUGUAGGCGGCCCGGUAAGUCCGCUGUAAAAGUCAAAGGCUCAACCUUUGAAUGUCAGUGGAUACUGCCGGGCUAGAGUCCGGAAGAGGCGAGUGGAACUCCUGGUGUAGCGGUGGAAUGCGCAGAUAUCAGGAAGAACACCAACGGCGAAGGCAGCUCGCUAGGACGGUACUGACGCUGAGACGCGAAAGCGUGGGGAGCGAACGG
rnacentral:rRNA from 1 species